rnacentral:rRNA from 1 species
UACGUAGGGUGCAAGCGUUAAUCGGAAUUACUGGGCGUAAAGCGUGCGCAGGCGGUUUUGUAAGUCUGUCGUGAAAGCCCCGGGCUCAACCUGGGAAUUGCGAUGGAGACUGCAAGGCUUGAAUCUGGCAGAGGGGGGUAGAAUUCCACGUGUAGCAGUGAAAUGCGUAGAUAUGUGGAGGAACACCGAUGGCGAAGGCAGCCCCCCUGGGUCAAGACUGACGCUCAUGCACGAAAGCGUGGGGAGCAAACAGG